UACGGGGGGGUGCGAGCGUUGUCCGGAAUCACUGGGCGUAAAGGGCGCGUAGGUGGCGUGAUAAGGGUGUGGUGAAAGCCCGGGGCUCAACCCCGGGUCUGCCAUGCCGACUGUCAGGCUCGAGUGCUGUAGGGGCAGGCGGAAUUCCCGGUGUAGCGGUGAAAUGCGUAGAGAUCGGGAGGAAGGCCGGUGGCGAAGGCGGCGCUCUGGAACAUUUCUGACGCUGAGGCUCGAAAGCGUGGGGAGCAAACAGG
rnacentral:rRNA from 1 species